rnacentral:rRNA from 1 species
UGGGGAAUAUUGCGCAAUGGGGGGAACCCUGACGCAGCCAUGCCGCGUGAAUGAAGAAGGCCUUAGGGUUGUAAAGUUCUUUCGGUAUUGAGGAAGGUUGAUGUGUUAAUAGCACAUCAAAUUGACGUUAAAUACAGAAGAAGCACCGGCUAACUCCGUGCCAGCAGCCGCGGUAAUACGGAGGGUGCGAGCGUUAAUCGGAAUAACUGGGCGCAAAGGGCACGCAGGCGGUUAUUUAAGUGAGGUGUGAAAGCCCCGGGCUUAACCUGGGAAUUGCAUUUCAGACUGGGUAACUAGAGUACUUUAGGGAGGGGUAGAAUUCCACGUGUAGCGGUGAAAUGCGUAGAGAUGUGGAGGAAUACCGAAGGCGAAGGCAGCCCCUUGGGAAUGUACUGACGCUCAUGUGCGAAAGCGUGGGGAGCAAACAGGAUUAGAUACCCUGGUAGUCCACGCUGUAAACGCUGUCGAUUUGGGGGUUGGGGUUUAACUCUGGCGCCCGUAGCUAACGUGAUAAAUCGACCGCCUGGGGAGUACGGCCGCAAGGUUA